rnacentral:rRNA from 1 species
AUGGGAGAAAAUGUAAAUGCCCCUGUGGCAGUUACAGCCGGGGAACUUGCAGUUGUGCUUCAGUCUAUGGAUGAGAAAUACAGAGCACUCUUUGAUGCAAUCAGCAAGCAGGCUGGAAAUUCAAGACCAGAGACUGAAGCCAAGGAAGAGAUUCACCCGUUGCAAAUGCCACAUGUGAAGCUAGUGGGUGCGGAAAAUUAUUCCAGUUGGGCAGAGCAUGCCGACACCAUCCUGAUCUCGAGGAACCUUGAGGGGUAUAUACUGGGAACAGUGGAGAAGCCUAUCGAGGAAAAUUCGAAAGAGGCCCAGAAGUGGAAAGCAACAAAUGCAUUGGUGAGAGCUUGGCUUUUAAGCUCAAUAUCAUCUCAGAUUGCAAAGCAAGUUGAAAGGAUCAAGGAGGCCUCAGAAAUUUGGAGGCUCCUAAAGGGGACAUAUUCAGGUGUAGGGAAUGAGAUGUUGGCAUGUAGGAUUCAAAAGGAACUACAGGAGCUAGGCCAGGGUGAGAAGACUGUUGUGGAAUAUGUGUCAGAAUUGAAAAGGUUGUGGAGUGAUCUUGAUUACUAUGAUCCAGUUGAGAUGGAAUGUGGGAAAUGUGUUGAGAAACAUAGUAAAUGGACUGAAAGAAGGCGUGUUAGGGACUUCUUAAAUGGUCUUCAUCCUAAUUCGAGAAUAGGAGAGCAGCACUUUAUGGUAGUGGGAAGUUGCCCAGUCUAG